rnacentral:miRNA from 1 species
GGGGGAAGAAAAGGUGGGG